CAGCAGCCGCGGGAAUACAGAGGAUGCAAGCGUUAUCCGGAAUGAUUGGGCGUAAGGCGUCUGUAGGUGGCUUUUCAAGUCCGCCGUCAAAUCCCAGGGCUCAACCCUGGACAGGCGGUGGAAACUACCAAGCUGGAGUACGGUAGGGGCAGAGGGAAUUUCCGGUGUAGCGGUGAAAUGCGUAGAUAUCAAGAGGAACACCGGUGGCGAAGGCGGCUUCCUGGACAAGUCCUGACUCUGAAACACGAAAGCCAGGGGAGCGAAUGGGAUUAGAUACCCCCGUAGUCCCUGUCUCUUAUAC
rnacentral:rRNA from 1 species